UACGUAGGGUGCAAGCGUUAAUCGGAAUUACUGGGCGUAAAGCGCACGUAGGCGGAUUGUUAAGUCGGGGGUGAAAUCCUGGAGCUCAACUCCAGAACUGCCUUCGAUACUGGCAAUCUCGAGUCCGGAAGAGGUAAGUGGAACUCCUAGUGUAGAGGUGGAAUUCGUAGAUAUUAGGAAGAACACCAGUGGCGAAGGCGGCUUACUGGUCCGGUACUGACGCUGAGGUGCGAAAGCGUGGGGAGCAAACAGG
rnacentral:rRNA from 1 species